rnacentral:rRNA from 1 species
CCUGAUUGAUCCUACCAGUAGUCAUAUGCUUGUCUCAAAGAUUAAGCCAUGCAUGUGUAAGUAUGCAGUAAUUUAGACUAUGAAACUGUGAAUGGCUCAUUAAAUCAAUUAUAGUUUGUUUGAUGGUAUCUACUACUCAGAUAACCAUAGUAAUUCUAGAGCUAAUACGUGCAACAAACCCUAACUUCUAGAAGGGAUUCAUUUAUUAGAUAAAAGGUCAACACGGGCUAUACCCGUUGCUCUGAUGAUUCAUGAUAACUCGACGGAUCGCACGGCCUUUAUACCGGUGACGCAUCAUUUAAAUUUUUUGCCCUAUCAACUUUUGAUGGUAGGAUAGUGGCCUACUAUGGUGGUGACGGGUGAUGCAGAAUUAGGGUUCGAUUCUGGAGAGGGAGCCUGAGAAAUGGCUACCAUAACUAAGGAAGGCAGCAGGCGCGCAAAUUACCCAAUCCUGACAUGGGAAGGUAGUGACAAUAAAUAACAAUAUCGAGCUCUAUGAGUCUGGUAAUUGGAAUGAGUACAAUCUAAAUCCCUUAACGAGGAUCCAUUGAGGGCAAGUCUGGUGCCAGCAGUCACGGUAAUUCUAGCUCUAAUAGUGUAUAUUUAUGUUGUUGCAAUUAAAAAGCUCGUAGUUAGAACUAGGGUUGGGUCAUCCGAUUCGUCUCACGGUGAUCAUCGAUCUACUCAUCCCUACUACCGGUGAUGUACUCUUGGACUUAAUUGCCUGGGUCGUUCCUCAGGCGCUGUUACUUUGAAGAAAUUAGAGUGCUCAAAAUAGGCCUACGCUUGUAUACAUUAGCAUGGAAUAACAUCAAAGUAGGCCAAGGAUGUUUUCAUUAAUCAAGAAUGAAAGUUGGGGGCUCGAACCCGAUCAGAUACCAUCCUAGUCUCAACCAUAAAUGAUGCCAACCAAGGAUCGAUGGAUGUUACUUUUAGGACUCAGUUGGCACCUUAUGAGAAAUCAAAGUCUUUGGGUUCCGAGGGGAGUAUGGUUUCAAGGCUGAAACUUAAAGGAAUUGACGGAAGGGCACCACCAGGAGUAGAGCCUAUGGCUUAAUUUGACUAAACACGGGGAAACUUACUAGGUCCAGACAUAGUAAGGAUUGACAGACUGAGAGCUCUUUCUUGAAUCUAUGGGUGGUGGUGCAUGGCCAUUCUUAGUUGGUGGAGCGAUUUGUCUGGCUAAUUCCGUUAACGAACGAGACCUCAGCCUGCUAACUAGCUACGCGGAGGUGAUCCUUCAUGGCUAGCUUCUUAGAGGGACUAUGGCCACUUAGGCCAAGGAAGUUUGAGGCAAUAACAGGUCUGUGAUGCCCUUAUAUGUUCUGGGCCGCACGUGCACUACACUGAUGUAUUCAACGAGUCUAUAGCCUUGGCCGACAGGCCCGGGUAAUCUUUAAAAUUUCAUCAUGCUGGGGAUAAGUCAUUGCAAUUGUUGGUCUUCAACAAGGAAUUCCUAGUAAGUGCGAGUCAUCAGCUCGCGUUGACUACGUCCCUGCCCUUUGUACACACCGCUCGUCGCUCCUACUGAUUGAAUGGUCCAGUGGAGUGUUCAGAUGGCAACGACAUGGACGGUUCGUCGCCCGCGAUGUCGUGAGAAGUCUACUGAACCUUAUCAUUUAGAGGAAGGAGAAGUCGUAAAAAGGUUUCUGUAGGUGAACUUAUGGAAG